rnacentral:rRNA from 1 species
UACGAAGGGGGCUAGCGUUGCUCGGAAUCACUGGGCGUAAAGGGUGCGUAGGCGGGUCUUUUAAGUCAGGGGUGAAAUCCUGGAGCUCAACUCCAGAACUGCCUUUGAUACUGAAGAUCUUGAGUUCGGGAGAGGUGAGUGGAACUGCGAGUGUAGAGGUGAAAUUCGUAGAUAUUCGCAAGAACACCCAGUGGCGAAGGCGGCUCACUGGCCCGAUACUGACGCUGAGGCACGAAAGCGUGGGGGAGCAAACAGG